CCGCCGAAAACCCGCACGCCAGAGGGCAGCGGGCUUUUAAUCCGUUGGUCGCGUGUUCGAGUCACGCACGGCCUACCA
rnacentral:tRNA from 1 species